CUGACCCUUGUAAAUGAGUUUAACUAGCUUUUUCACAUGGAUAGAAACUGUCAGUUUUCUGUCAUCUACGCUGCCCUCAGCAGUGCUUCAUGUUCCUGUGUCGGGAGACACAGGGAUUUUUUUCCUGAUUUCCUACAACCUCUGGAAAGACCUUCUCCUUUCCUAAGAAGCAUCUUGCUGUGAUGGACACCAAACCCAGAGUCUCUUCCUCCCUUCACCUUUUGCUGUUGUCAAGGUCCUCGUCUUCUCUCUUCUCAAAUGUCUGACAAAUGCCAACUCUAGUCCACAUUCUUCUGAGUGUGACGACUCUCAAGCUUCUCAAGAAAGGCUCCCUGGAUGGAGAGCAAUGACACUCGGUGUUGGGAGCCACAUGGGACAUUCCGGGAGAAGACACAUCUGAGCAGGUUGCCCUGCAGGCUGGCAGAGGUCAGGUGGGAUUAUCUGCCCUCAGUUCUCCUUCCUCCACCUGUUCCAACCCAACCCCUGGGGUGUAACUGGCAGUUUCCCUGCCCCCAGGCUCAGACCAGACCUGUUGAAGGUGCCAGAAGCCCAGACCUGAGCUUCUGGUGCCUAGAACCAAAGGUCAAGGCUCACAGCUUUUUCCUCUGUCCAGCUCUCAGUACUGGGAAGAUGCCCAGCUAGAAGACCCAAGGCACACUUGGGACAUUCACCAAAAGCAAAGAUGUAUUUCUUCAUUCGCCAUUCCCUCCUCAUUCUUCAAAAACAAAACAAACAUUAAAAAACUAAAGCAAAAAUAGUAUCUGAUUAAUAAUAAAGAUUGCCUCUCUUUAACCUAUUCUACCCAUCUUACAAGUUAAGAGAUCAUAGAAUUUUAGACACGAAGAGAAUGAGUGUUUUCCAGCAUGGGGCCAAUAAUUACAGUGAUUUCCUAUUCCUUGGAUCUCUGAUUGCCAAUUUCUUUAGAUGGCUUCGAUGUCAUUCUACAGCUCGAGACCCAGCUUCGCUGAUGCUUUUGAACUUCUGGUAAGUAUUGACAAUUCAUCUUUGAAUAGAUGACAGUGUUAUAGUUUUAUUCAAAUGGGAGAAAAUGAGUCAUUUUACACCAGCUUUAUAGAAAGGGAUGAAUGUUCCAGAUAUACUGUCGGGGAGAGAUGUGCACAGGAGAGAUGGCUGUCUCCCCUAUGAGACCCAGAGCCAGCAGCAGGGUGCCCUCCAGCACAAAUGCACAAAAGCUAUUAUGCAAUGCAGGUGUUUAUGCUCUUAGAAAAUUAGUGGAAAUGUGAGAAGGUCUCACUGUUUAGGAAAGUAAUAGGGAAAAGAAAAGAUACUGCAAAUACUGUGUGUUGCCCUCAAUCUCAAGAACUUCUCUCUGAUAUGCAACAGAGAAUUGAGGGCACCUGCAGGUUUAUGGUUCUAUAUUUUAGGGGACAGACAGAUGAGGAUGGUAGGAACUUAAGGUGAAGAGAAUAAUUCUAUAAAAUGGACUCACAGUGCUGACACUCACAUGCUUUCUUUGCCAAACAAGCAAUUGACCUGCAGCCCUGUCUGGCCUAAGUGGACAGUCCAUGUCACAUUCCUCAGCCAACUACCUGUUAUGUGCAAGGAAAUGCAGGCAGGUAAGGACUUUGAUAAGAGGAGCCCAAGUUUACUUUGAAAGGAGAGACUUUUGUGACCCUUUUCACAGACCAGCUUCAGGAAGGUAAGGCUAAUUCCUCCUAACCAUAAAACCUGUAAAAAAUGAUUAGGAAUCGAUGGGCCAAGGGGAUCUAGGAUUGCCAUGGCAAUAUGAGCUUUGAAAGUCUGAUGCUGUCAGUCAAAGUCAGGAGGUGGAAAUGGAGGGACUCUCUGGGAACUUCUCUGGGAUCCCCAAUAAAACCGGAGUGCAGGAGAGGCAUGUUGUCCUGCCCCUCUCUGAGAGGACCCACCCUUCCCUUAUGGGUGUCCACUUUACCUUUGCCUGUUCCUUCGAUAAACUCAUUUCAUUUACUCUGAGCAACAUCUGAAAUCUUUCCGACUUGAUUCCAAGCAUCUGGGUUUGAAGGGGGAGGGUUCUACACAUUGCCUCAGUUUCUCAGGAGAUUUCAGCUCUGUAACAAAGCCAGCUUGUGUGCUUGAGCUUGUCCCAUUCAUCAGCCCACGGACUCCAGUAGCCUUUCCUCUCCCUGGUUCUUCUGUUGGCCGGGCUCUUGGAAGAGUGAACACACAGUUGCCUUCUCUGUUUUCAUGGGUAGAGAGGAGCAGCUCUUAAGCCCUGAUGAAUGUAUGGCAAUCACUUCAUUUGGAGUUGCUGCUUGACCUUGGCAGUGACUUUCCCAGAUAAUGUUGUUAAGUGACACUGAUCCUUUGGACACUAAAGGUAACAAUUUUAUUUUAUUUUUGUAAAUUAUCUUGGGGAUCAGGAUUGCUAAUAUUCCUGUGGCUUAGUCUCAAUUUCCUUCUUUUAUUUUUCCCCCAACCACUUUCAUCUCUAUUGAGAGUCUCUGAGUCCAAAGGAACUCAAUCUGUCCCUACUAAUGUAUGAAGAAUUUUUAUUUUAGCUCCCCCAAGUUAUGAUUUCAUGACAGAAUGAUUUCUCACUUUUAAACUCUAAAUAUUUUCUAGUUUGGAAAUGCCUACCUAUCGUGUGGAUUUUUCUUCCCUUCCCCUCCAUGCUUAGGUAUAUUUGUAGGAAAACAAAACCUUUAUUUAUUAAAAAGUUCAUUUGCUCCUGCUGCUUAUUCUCCACCUGAAGUUCUAAUCCUCUGUUUGUGACAAAGUAAUCAUUUCCACAGCAACUAAUUGUGAUGCUGCAAAGGCAGCCUUAGACUUCAGGAGGGGAAUGAGCAUCAGGGGCAGAUGAACAUAGAAGAAAAUAAAGAGUGCCCUUUAUAUGCAAAUAUCCUUAAAUGUGGUGAAGGGGAUGUGAAGGCAUUGGGCAAAAAAGACUGAAUAGUAAACAAAGUAUUAUUUUAGAUCAACUCAAAAAACUGUUUUGUUUUGUUUUUUCCUUCUUCUGUGGAUUGAGCCCGCCUUUGGCUGCACCUGCUCAUUGCUUGGUCAGUUCAUUUUGAUUGAUUGAUUCUUUUUUGUUGUUGUUUUUUGUUUUUGUUUCAGAUAGCUGGACUUGCAGCUGUUAAAAGGAAUGAUCAAAGUACCAGUGUCCUGAUGAAUGUGCUCUCUGGGAAGGGACGGAGAAAGGACCUGCUUAGUGGAUGCUCCUAUUUCUAAAGUAACCCUCAAAAGGAAUUUCCUAACCUUCAUCCUGGGUGCGGGGUAUUACAGUGAGCACCUAGACCUCACUGUUUCCACUUAGUGUAGCAAGACACAAAGGGACUGGGAGAUAUCAGGAACAGAGAUUGCGAUGCAAACAGCAAUGAGCUGACAAACUUCUAGGAAUUUCAGCAGUAAGAGAGAAAGAAAAUGUCUUUGUGAGUCUCUGGACACCUUAAACCUCUUCACUCAACUCUGGUCAUUUUAUU
rnacentral:lncRNA from 1 species